AGCCCAGAGCCUGAAUCAGUGUGUGUGUUAGUGGAAGCGUCUGGAAAGGCGCGCGAUACAGGGUGACAGCCCCGUACACAAAAAUGCACAUGCUGUGAGCUCGAUGAGUAGGGCGGGACACGUGGUAUCCUGUCUGAAUAUGGGGGGACCAUCCUCCAAGGCUAAAUACUCCUGACUGACCGAUAGUGAACCAGUACCGUGAGGGAAAGGCGAAAAGAACCCCGGCGAGGGGAGUGAAAAAGAACCUGAAACCGUGUACGUACAAGCAGUGGGAGCACGCUUAGGCGUGUGACUGCGUACCUUUUGUAUAAUGGGUCAGCGACUUAUAUUCUGUAGCAAGGUUAACCGAAUAGGGGAGCCGUAGGGAAACCGAGUCUUAACUGGGCGUUAAGUUGCAGGGUAUAGACCCGAAACCCGGUGAUCUAGCCAUGGGCAGGUUGAAGGUUGGGUAACACUAACUGGAGGACCGAACCGACUAAUGUUGAAAAAUUAGCGGAUGACUUGUGGCUGGGGGUGAAAGGCCAAUCAAACCGGGAGAUAGCUGGUUCUCCCCGAAAGCUAUUUAGGUAGCGCCUCGUGAAUUCAUCUCCGGGGGUAGAGCACUGUUUCGGCAAGGGGGUCAUCCCGACUUACCAACCCGAUGCAAACUGCGAAUACCGGAGAAUGUUAUCACGGGAGACACACGGCGGGUGCUAACGUCCGUCGUGAAGAGGGAAACAACCCAGACCGCCAGCUAAGGUCCCAAAGUCAUGGUUAAGUGGGAAACGAUGUGGGAAGGCCCAGACAGCCAGGAUGUUGGCUUAGAAGCAGCCAUCAUUUAAAGAAAGCGUAAUAGCUCACUGGUCGAGUCGGCCUGCGCGGAAGAUGUAACGGGGCUAAACCAUGCACCGAAGCUGCGGCAGCGACGCUUAUGCGUUGUUGGGUAGGGGAGCGUUCUGUAAGCCUGUGAAGGUGUGCUGUGAGGCAUGCUGGAGGUAUCAGAAGUGCGAAUGCUGACAUAAGUAACGAUAAAGCGGGUGAAAAGCCCGCUCGCCGGAAGACCAAGGGUUCCUGUCCAACGUUAAUCGGGGCAGGGUGAGUCGACCCCUAAGGCGAGGCCGAAAGGCGUAGUCGAUGGGAAACAGGUUAAUAUUCCUGUACUUGGUGUUACUGCGAAGGGGGGACGGAGAAGGCUAUGUUGGCCGGGCGACGGUUGUCCCGGUUUAAGCGUGUAGGCUGGUUUUCCAGGCAAAUCCGGAAAAUCAAGGCUGAGGCGUGAUGACGAGGCACUACGGUGCUGAAGCAACAAAUGCCCUGCUUCCAGGAAAAGCCUCUAAGCAUCAGGUAACAUCAAAUCGUACCCCAAACCGACACAGGUGGUCAGGUAGAGAAUACCAAGGCGCUUGAGAGAACUCGGGUGAAGGAACUAGGCAAAAUGGUGCCGUAACUUCGGGAGAAGGCACGCUGAUACGUAGGUGAAGUCCCUCGCGGAUGGAGCUGAAAUCAGUCGAAGAUACCAGCUGGCUGCAACUGUUUAUUAAAAACACAGCACUGUGCAAACACGAAAGUGGACGUAUACGGUGUGACGCCUGCCCGGUGCCGGAAGGUUAAUUGAUGGGGUUAGCGCAAGCGAAGCUCUUGAUCGAAGCCCCGGUAAACGGCGGCCGUAACUAUAACGGUCCUAAGGUAGCGAAAUUCCUUGUCGGGUAAGUUCCGACCUGCACGAAUGGCGUAAUGAUGGCCAGGCUGUCUCCACCCGAGACUCAGUGAAAUUGAACUCGCUGUGAAGAUGCAGUGUACCCGCGGCAAGACGGAAAGACCCCGUGAACCUUUACUAUAGCUUGACACUGAACAUUGAGCCUUGAUGUGUAGGAUAGGUGGGAGGCUUUGAAGUGUGGACGCCAGUCUGCAUGGAGCCGACCUUGAAAUACCACCCUUUAAUGUUUGAUGUUCUAACGUUGACCCGUAAUCCGGGUUGCGGACAGUGUCUGGUGGGUAGUUUGACUGGGGCGGUCUCCUCCUAAAGAGUAACGGAGGAGCACGAAGGUUGGCUAAUCCUGGUCGGACAUCAGGAGGUUAGUGCAAUGGCAUAAGCCAGCUUGACUGCGAGCGUGACGGCGCGAGCAGGUGCGAAAGCAGGUCAUAGUGAUCCGGUGGUUCUGAAUGGAAGGGCCAUCGCUCAACGGAUAAAAGGUACUCCGGGGAUAACAGGCUGAUACCGCCCAAGAGUUCAUAUCGACGGCGGUGUUUGGCACCUCGAUGUCGGCUCAUCACAUCCUGGGGCUGAAGUAGGUCCCAAGGGUAUGGCUGUUCGCCAUUUAAAGUGGUACGCGAGCUGGGUUUAGAACGUCGUGAGACAGUUCGGUCCCUAUCUGCCGUGGGCGCUGGAGAACUGAGGGGGGCUGCUCCUAGUACGAGAGGACCGGAGUGGACGCAUCACUGGUGUUCGGGUUGUCAUGCCAAUGGCACUGCCCGGUAGCUAAAUGCGGAAGAGAUAAGUGCUGAAAGCAUCUAAGCACGAAACUUGCCCCGAGAUGAGUUCUCCCUGACCCUUUAAGGGUCCUGAAGGAACGUUGAAGACGACGACGUUGAUAGGCCGGGUGUGUAAGCGCAGCGAUGCGUUGAGCUAACCGGUACUAAUGAACCGUGAGGCUUAACCUUACAACGCCGAAG
rnacentral:rRNA from 1 species